CAAUUGCAUGUGUUGAGGUCCCAAAAUCAGAGUUCAGCCAGUCUGUGACAUCCACCAUUUAACAUUCUCCUGUACUAUGGGGGUUGAUGGUUUGGAUGCAUCAAUAUCUGUUACUUUUGAUGAGAUCCAGUCUCUUGCCUCUGGGAUAAAUAUUUUGUUUGUCCACAUUCGUAGAGAGGCGAUCCAGGUAGCCGAUGAAUUGACCAAGUAGGGUGUUAGGUUUUGUCAUUUGGAGAUUUGGGAAUUUCUUUCUAGCAAGCCAAACAAUCCAGCUUUUCAGCUUUAAGGGGUCAUGGGACACUUGCUACUGUCAGACUAUCUUCCACCCCAUGUGGACUAUAUUCACAGUAUGAGCUUCCUAGCAGAGGGUAUCUUCCAUUUACAGUGCCAAGGAAAAUCGAUAAUUUCAAGGUUCAUCCGAUAUUGAAAUGGGUGAUGAUAGAUGAAAGCAUACAACAGUUUAAUGUUUUCAUGAUGUUUCAAGUCAAUCUCGCAAGAAUCUGCCCAAAGCCUCUAUGUCCACUUGUGAAUUCCGUCGUUGUGGUUGAAAAACUUAUGAGCAAGGAGAAAGCAUUUCACACCAUGUUGAUGAGCUUGAGGGAUAUGCUUGAGUUAAGAGUGCUAUUUGCUCACAUUGGGACUCAUGCACUCCCGAAGAUGCAUCUGGUAGGCUCUCUAUUUUAUUAGAUUCCCUUACGAUAUUCUUUAAAACAAUCGCAGUUGCAUUGAUUUCACCAGCUUAAUUUUACAGAACAUCAUUACUAAAUGUCUAAUAAUUCUGUGUGAUUAUAGGAACAAGUUACUGAUCUAACAGGCUAUAUGCCAAUGAAAGUAAGUACCUAGAAUAGACUUGAAUUCAGUUAAUGUGAAACAGUUGAUGUGGACCAAGUGUCCCAAUCUGAUGAUGAAAACAGGACUGAUCAUACAAGAAACUUUUGCAGUAUUGUGCCUGCCGAUGCUUGAACCAGGGGUGCACAUGGGUCGGUUCGGUCCAGUUCUGGGGAGAAACCAGAACCGAACCAUUCCUAACAGUUCUAGGAUAUUCGGAACCGGAACCGGACUGUUAGCACCCUAGAACCGAACUGGAACCGGACCGUUAAAACCGGUUCAGUUCCGGAUCGGUUCCACGGUUCUGGGCUUUUUAUGAUCCAGCCCAAUUGCAUCUUUUAUUUUAUAAUUUAGCCCAUGUCCAUUCAUGUUGUGAUCCAUUUGAUGAAUGGUUUAGAUAUUGUAUAAGGUAUGCAAAAAUACAUUUAUGGAAACAAUCAAAUGGUGCAUUGUAAACCAUAAAUCAUAAGUCAAAUAUGGAAACAAUCAAAGGGUUCUUGGUUCGGUUCCAAGUUCGGUUCCAGGUUCGGUUCCACAGUUCGGUUCUAUGGAUCAAUUCACGGUUCGGUUUGGUUCUACAUACCCCCAAACCGAGAACCGAACCGAUGUAAUCGGUUCUUUGAUUUUUGGAACCGGAACCGGUGCACUCUAGAACCGGACCGUUUAGUCGGUUCCCGUCCGGUUCCACGGUUCUACCAGUUCGAUGUGCACCCCUAGCUUGAACGUGUAAAUGCUCAGUCCUCAACUAAUCACAUGAUUGCAAACCACUGCUCUCAACUUUUCAAUGGUAUUUCAUAAUGUUAAACAUUCUUCUUUUUUUUUCUUUUUUUUCCAAAACUGCGAAUACCCCUUUCAAGAGGAUUUAGUGAAUAAUACACAUGUGGAAUUUUGUUUUCAGCUUUAUCUGAUUGCUGAUAUGUAUCACGACUCAUGAGUGCAUUUAUGAAAUUUAUUUUUCUUUAAUUUACAGCAUCAUCAUUGUAACAAUCUAAGCCUUUUCCCAACUAAUUGGAGCUGACUAUAACGAAGCUUGUCCCACCAUGCCACCCUAUCUAAGACCAUAUCAUAGGUCAUCAACUCUUUUCUUAUGAUCUCCACCCUCAUCCUUUCAGGCCUUUCCCUUGCCCUUUUAUAGCCUUCACCUUGAACCAACUCACGGCUGACCCUAGUUGGUUGGGAUAAAGCUUAGAUGAUGAACUUGAACCCAGUCGGUCAUAACCAUUGUAGUUCUUGGUCUCCGAUACGCAUGGCCAAAUCAGCUAAGUUUACUUUUCCCCCAUCUUAUUACCUGUUGGGGCUACUCCUAAGUUCUCUUGAAUGUGUCCAUUUCAAAUUAUAUCCUUGUCUUAUCAUUCAUCCAUCUCAGCAUCCUCCUUCAUUACAUUCAUUCUAUGAACAUGCUGUCCCACAAUGUGUGUGCGUGCUGCUCAUAUGAAUAACUUUUUCAAUCUAUUGACACUAACUUGGUAAAAACAAAUCACAUAUUAUCUCUGUAAGAAAAGUGGUACUCGUGUUAUAUGCAAUGCAGUUUGGGUGUUGUUAUUUCUAGGUAUCAUGGGGGUAAGCUAUGGGCUGAAAUCCAUCACCUAUUGUCACUAGCUUUGUUAAUUUUGUAAUUUUAUAUUGCAAAAUUAUCAUAUGGUUGAUUAUUACUUUGUAAUGGACACAUUGUAUAUCAUUAUUUAAUUACUUGUGAAAACUUUAUUACUUUCUCAACCAUGGUUCUGCAUAUGGUCUCUAUGAAGUCAUAUGUAGGUUUGGUGAAAUCCUUUGUAUGGCAUUGAACGUCUUUGAUUUUUUUUUGAAAGGAAACACUAACAGUGCAGGGAUUGAACCAUGGAUCACUCACACACACUAAACUCUACUAGAUCAUCUAGCGAGCAAGAGACAGUACUCUGUUUUUUUCCAGUUCCCAAGGGAAGCUCUCAGCUGAUAGAAACUCCCCAUGAUGGUGAUCAUGAUGUAGGCAUAGCAUAGCUAGCAAGAACUAGGGCAGUUUGGAGUAUGGUUGGAUCUGUUGUUAAUGUAGGAGAGUCUUUGGCCACUCACAUUUUGGAACUUUGUUUUAGUUGAGAACAAGAAAGUGAUGUCCAAUCACAAGCUGUCGUUCUCUCCUUAGAACAGAGAAUAGCAGCAUUUAAGUAAAAUCUUCGCAGGCUUAUAUUUCCAGUUAGAUUUACUAUAUAUGUGCACUUUGUCAGUCACAAAUUUUCUUCUAAAAUGCAUAUUUCUACGAGUUCUGCGAA